GACGAACCGUGCGAACGUUGUUCGGAAUCACUGGGCUUAAAGGGCGCGUAGGCGGCUGCUCAAGUCGGGGGUGAAAUCCCAUCGCUUAACGGUGGAAGGGCCUUCGAUACUGGGCGGCUCGAGGGAGGUAGGGGCAGAGGGAACUUCUGGUGGAGCGGUGAAAUGCGUUGAUAUCAGAAGGAACGCCGGUGGCGAAAGCGCUCUGCUGGAUCUCAUCUGACGCUGAGGCGCGAAAGCCAGGGGAGCAAACGGG
rnacentral:rRNA from 1 species